ensembl:snRNA U6 U6 spliceosomal RNA
CUGCUCACUUCAGCAGCACAUAUACUAAAAUUGGAGAGAUACAGAGAUGAUUGGCACAGUUCCUGCAGAAGAAUGACACACAAAUUCUUGAAGUGUCCCAGAUUUAA